GGGACUAGCGUUGUUCGGAAUUACUGGGCGUAAAGCGCACGUAGGCGGAUUUGUAAGUCAGGGGUGAAAUCCCGGGGCUCAACCUCGGAACUGCCUUUGAUACUGCAAAUCUCGAGUCCGGAAGAGGUGAGUGGAAUUCCUAGUGUAGAGGUGAAAUUCGUAGAUAUUAGGAAGAACACCAGUGGCGAAGGCGGCUCACUGGUCCGGUACUGACGCUGAGGUGCGAAAGCGUGGGGAGCAAACAGG
rnacentral:rRNA from 1 species